AUGCUUUCAUACAGCAUCAAGAUCACCGGUNCCNGGGUAACUCGGUAUUGGCCUUGAGCCUCAUGGUCUACGGUAUGUUCCAGGAUAACUCUAGGCAACAUUCGUGUGGGGAGUGCAUUUUCUCAUCUUCCGAGCUCGAGUCUCGACCAGUGUGGCGGAGUAUUGAGAGAAUACUCGUGUGUAUACAGUGGCCAUAGAAAGGUAUGCUAACACCAUACCUGAUCUACAUUCGGUUAUCACCGCUACUGUACAUCCUUGCGGUGUACAGACUAGUGUUGAGCCGUUUUAGUCAGCUAUGGCCACACACACACUGGACAAGAAUCUCUGCGUAUGCAGGGUCAACACAAUGCCCGAAGGUGCUCACGGUAUNCCCGAGUAGUGUAUUCGUCAUUGAAUGCUGUUUUUGUACUCAGUGCAAGAACGAUUCAUGGUUACGCUGCUCUUUGGUGGUGUGCCAGUACAUCUUGUUGGGUUAACAUUGGACUGUUGAUAUGAUUCGGAGGCAAGUAGAUCGGUACUCUAUCCGACCCGUCUUGAAACACGGACCAAGGAGUCUAACAUGUAUGCAAGCCGAACAGUCUUGUAUAGGCUCGGUAGGCGAAUUGAAAGAAAUAUUUAUGGGUAUGAUGCGUUCUCUAUCAAUNCAUUGGACUCGAAAGUGUNCCCAAUGUUGAUACGCCGCAAUACCGGCCCGUGGAUUAUCCUCUUUACCGAGAUAACCGCGGAGCUCUAGUAUAUAUGUUAGUACCCGAAAGAUGGUG
rnacentral:rRNA from 1 species